CCUACGGGAGACAGCAGUGGGGAAUAUUGCGCAAUGGGCGAAAGCCUGACGCAGCGACGCCGCGUGAGGGAUGAAGGUCUUCGGAUCGUAAACCUCUGUCAGCAGGGAAGAACGGUCACUGUGCUAAUCAGCAGUGAAUUGACGGUACCUGCAAAGGAAGCACCGGCUAACUCCGUGCCAGCAGCCGCGGUAAUACGGAGGGUGCGAGCGUUAAUCGGAAUUACUGGGCGUAAAGCGCUCGUAGGCGGUAUGUCAAGUCAAGGGUGAAAUCCCCGCGCUCAACGUGGGAACUGCCUUUGAAACUGGCAGACUGGAGUGUGUGAGUGGAUAGUGGAAUUCCAGGUGUAGGAGUGAAAUCCGUAGAUAUCUGGAGGAACAUCAGUGGCGAAGGCGACUAUCUGGCACAUAACUGACGCUGAGGAGCGAAAGCGUGGGUAGCAAACAGGAUUAGAUACCCGGGUAGUC
rnacentral:rRNA from 1 species